GACGAACGCUGGCGUCGUGCUUAACACAUGCAAGUCGAACGGAAAGGCCCUGCUUUUGUGGGGUGCUCGAGUGGCGAACGGGUGAGUAACACGUGAGUAACCUGCCCUUGACUUCGGGAUAACUUCAGGAAACUGGGGCUAAUACCGGAUAGGAGCUCCUGCUGCAUGGUGGGGGUUGGAAAGUUUCGGCGGUUGGGGAUGGACUCGCGGCUUAUCAGCUUGUUGGUGGGGUAGUGGCUUACCAAGGCUUUGACGGGUAGCCGGCCUGAGAGGGUGACCGGCCACAUUGGGACUGAGAUACGGCCCAGACUCCUACGGGAGGCAGCAGUGGGGAAUAUUGCACAAUGGGCGGAGGCCUGAUGCAGCAACGCCGCGUGCGGGAUGACGGCCUUCGGGUUGUAAACCGCUUUCGCCUGUGACGAAGCGUGAGUGACGGUAAUGGGUAAAGAAGCACCGGCUAACUACGUG
rnacentral:rRNA from 1 species